AUGAAGAAGAGUAAGAGUGGAAAGGAGCUAGUGGAAGAAGUAAGGAGGAUUGAGAAGAACAUCAACACUGGCAGUACUAUAUCAUCACAGUUUGAGUUGAGUGUGGCUGAGAUAUCCAUUGAUACAUGUGACGUUCCAACACCUUCACAUUCAGCUGAGCAAGAUAGCGAGAGUCCAGAGGAAGAGAUACUUCAGAUCCAAGAAGAAAUUCUCGAAGCCAAGGCACAAGAUGAUCCAGAGCUCGAACAACAAAGUGAACAAGUUGAAGAUCCAAUGUCUACCACUCCCGAAGAAGUAAAAGAAGAUGUUGUAGAUGAAGAUGAAGAACCUGAGAUUCAUUUGCCUAUUGUCAUACCCGAGCGUGAUGUGUCAGGCUUUUGCUACUGCACUGUUUACUACAUGCUGACCAGGUUCGAGGUGACAUUCCUUGGGAUCCUGGUGGAGUCAAAGCAUGGCGAUGAGGAGAAGCAAUGGGGCACUCAUAUGGAAGAGUGA
rnacentral:rRNA from 1 species